rnacentral:rRNA from 1 species
GACGAACGCUGGCGGCGUGCCUAAUACAUGCAAGUUGAGCGCUGAAGGUUGGUACUUGUACCAACUGGAUGAGCAGCGAACGGGUGAGUAACGCGUGGGGAAUCUGCCUUUGAGCGGGGGACAACAUUUGGAAACGAAUGCUAAUACCGCAUAAAAACUUUAAACACAAGUUUUAAGUUUGAAGGAUGCAAUUGCAUCACUCAAAGAUGAUCCCGCGUUGUAUUAGCUAGUUGGUGAGGUAAAGGCUCACCAAGGCGAUGAUACAUAGCCGACCUGAGAGGGUGAUCGGCCACAUUGGGACUGAGACACGGCCCAAACUCCUACGGGAGGCAGCAGUAGGGAAUCUUCGGCAAUGGACGAAAGUCUGACCGAGCAACGCCGCGUGAGUGAAGAAGGGUGUCGGAUCGUAAAACUCUGUUGGUAGAGAAGAACGUUGGUGAGAGUGGAAAGCUCAUCAAGUGACGGUAACUACCCAGAAAGGGACGGCUAACUACGUG